AUUGAACGCUGGCGGCAGGCCUAACACAUGCAAGUCGAGCGAAUGAGGGAAGCUUGCUUCCCGAUUUAGCGGCGGACGGGUGAGUAAUGCCUAGGAAUCUGCCUAUUAGUGGGGGAUAACGUUCCGAAAGGAACGCUAAUACCGCAUACGUCCUACGGGAGAAAGUGGGGGAUCUUCGGACCUCACGCUAAUAGAUGAGCCUAGGUCGGAUUAGCUAGUUGGUGAGGUAACGGCUCACCAAGGCGACGAUCCGUAGCUGGUCUGAGAGGAUGAUCAGCCACACUGGAAAUGGGACACGGUCCAGACUCCUACGGGAGGCAGCAGUGGGGAAUAUUGGACAAUGGGCGAAAGCCUGAUCCAGCCAUGCCGCGUGUGUGAAGAAGGUCUUCGGAUUGUAAAGCACUUUAAGUUGGGAGGAAGGGUUGUAAGCUAAUAUCUUGCAGCUUUGACGUUACCAACAGAAUAAGCACCGGCUAACUCUGUGCCAGCCGCCGCGGUAACAC
rnacentral:rRNA from 1 species